rnacentral:rRNA from 1 species
AACGCUAGCUACAGGCUUAACACAUGCAAGUCGAGGGGAAACGACAUCGAAAGCUUGCUUUUGAUGGGCGUCGACCGGCGCACGGGUGAGUAACGCGUAUCCAACCUGCCCACCACUUGGGGAUAACCUUGCGAAAGUAAGACUAAUACCCAAUGAUAUCUCUAGAAGACAUCUGAAAGAGAUUAAAGAUUUAUCGGUGAUGGAUGGGGAUGCGUCUGAUUAGCUUGUUGGCGGGGUAACGGCCCACCAAGGCAACGAUCAGUAGGGGUUCUGAGAGGAAGGUCCCCCACAUUGGAACUGAGACACGGUCCAAACUCCUACGGGAGGCAGCAGUGAGGAAUAUUGGUCAAUGGGCGAGAGCCUGAACCAGCCAAGUAGCGUGCAGGAAGACGGCCCUAUGGGUUGUAAACUGCUUUUAUACAGGAAUAAAGUUAGCCACGUGUGGUUAUUUGUAGGUACUGUAUGAAUAAGGACCGGCUAAUUCCGUGCCAGCAGCCGCGGUAAUACGGAAGGUCCAGGCGUUAUCCGGAUUUAUUGGGUUUAAAGGGAGCGUAGGCCGUCUGUUAAGCGUGUUGUGAAAUGUAGAUGCUCAACAUCUGAAUUGCAGCGCGAACUGGCAGACUUGAGUGUGCGCAACGUAGGCGGAAUUCGUGGUGUAGCGGUGAAAUGCUUAGAUAUCACGAAGAACUCCGAUUG